rnacentral:rRNA from 1 species
CAGCAGCCACGGUAAUACGUAGGGUGCGAGCGUUAAUCGGAAUUACUGGGCGUAAAGCGUGCGCAGGCGGUUAUAUAAGACAGAUGUGAAAUCCCCGGGCUCAACCUGGGACCUGCAUUUGUGACUGUAUAGCUAGAGUACGGUAGAGGGGGAUGGAAUUCCGCGUGUAGCAGUGAAAUGCGUAGAUAUGCGGAGGAACACCGAUGGCGAAGGCAAUCCCCUGGACCUGUACUGACGCUCAUGCACGAAAGCGUGGGGAGCAAACAGGAUUAGAUACCCCAGUAGUCCCUGUCUCUUAUAU